ACGGGUGAGUAACGCGUGGGUAACCUGCCUCAUACAGGGGGAUAACAGUUGGAAGCGACUGCUAAUACCGCAUAAGCGCACAGUACCGCAUGGUACAGUGUGAAAAACUCCGGUGGUAUGAGAUGGACCCGCGUCUGAUUAGCUAGUUGGUGGGGUAACGGCCUACCAAGGCGACGAUCAGUAGCCGACCUGAGAGGGUGACCGGCCACAUUGGGACUGAGACACGGCCCAA
rnacentral:rRNA from 1 species